GAUGGACACUACAGCACAAUAUAAGCUGAGCUGGAAAUUACAAUUGAUAAGAUAUCACAUUGGUUUGAGCAUGAUUCCCAGCAAGAUUAUGAAGGGGCAUAUAUAUCAUAUAUACAUAGGAAAUAUAUAGUGUCACUAAAUUACUCUCAUACGGUACCUCACCUCUGUAGCUGUAAAUUGCGAAACGGUGGAUUCAUUCAUAAUUUUGAGUUACUUAUUGCAAUUGGAAAUAACGUUGAUAUAGCUAACAGCAUUAUGCCAUGAUGUUGAUGGGAUGUUAUGAUUGGACAAAAAGGAAAUUGUGAAUUGAACAAAUAGCAAACUUGAAAUUCAUAGGAAAAAAAAGUAGGAAAUAGGAAUAAUGAAAAUUCAUAGUUUCAGUGAUUAUCUUACAAUCAUCAUGAUCAUUGUCAAUACUACAAGUGCAUCAUCAUUAUCAUAUAUAUCUGAAUUCACCUUGGAUAAUUAUACAUUUAAAAUAAUAAUUUGGAUAUAAUAAGAAUUUCUGUGCUGGCGUUGCUACUGUUGGCUUCAUGUACCACCAGCUGGGAGUGUUAAACCUUUUUGACCUUUCGUGAGGGUCUGUCACGGUCCGUCACAAUUGGUUAGUGUCAUAUAUGCAUGAUUAUGGAAGUUUCACCAACCUAGACAAGCUUUACAGCCCUGGCACGGUUGUUGGUUGCACUUAGAGUCAAAUGACAGCUUGCUGUAUACAUUUGUAGUUCAAAUAGUCUGAAUGAAUCUACAUGUAUGGUGACAAUCUUCUAAAUUACUGUUCAUUCUGAAACUGGCAUUUUAUACUAGUACAUGUAGUAGUCGAACAUAUUAAACAAUACAUGUACUUCAAA